rnacentral:rRNA from 1 species
CCUACGGGAGGCAGCAGUGGGGAAUAUUGCACAAUGGGGGAAACCCUGAUGCAGCGACGCCGCGUGAGUGAAGAAGUAAUUCGUUAUGUAAAGCUCUAUCAGCAGGGAAGAAAAUGAGGGUACGUGAGUAAGUAGCACUGGCUAACUACGUGCCAGCAGCCGCGGUAAUAAGUAGGGGGCAAGCGUUAGCCGGAUUUACUGGGUGUAAAGGGAGCGUAGACGGCAGAGCUAGUAUGGAGUGAAGGGCGGGGGCUCAACCCCCGGACUGCUCUGGAAACUGUACGGCUGGAGUGCAGGAGAGGUGAGUGGAAUUCCUAGUGUAGCGGUGAAAUGCGUAGAUAUUAGGAGGAACACCAGUGGCGAAGGCGGCUUACUGGACUGUAACUGACGUUGAGGCUCGAAAGCGUGGGGAGCAAACAGGAUUAGAUACCCUAGUAGUC